UACAGAGGUCUCAACCGUUGUUCGGAUUCAUUGGGCGUAAAGGGUGCGUAGGUGGCGCGGUAAGUCGGGUGUGAAAUUUCGGAGCUUAACUCCGAAACUGCAUUCGAUACUGCCGUGCUUGAGGACUGGAGAGGAGACUGGAAUUUACGGUGUAGCAGUGAAAUGCGUAGAGAUCGUAAGGAAGACCAGUGGCGAAGGCGGGUCUCUGGACAGUUCCUGACACUGAGGCACGAAGGCCAGGGGAGCAAACGGG
rnacentral:rRNA from 1 species